UACGGGGGGAGCAAGCGUUGUUCGGAUUUACUGGGCGUAAAGGGCGCGUAGGCGGUCAGCACAAGUCAGUUGUGAAAUCUCCGGGCUUAACUCGGAAAGGUCAACUGAUACUGUGCGACUAGAGUGCAGAAGGGGCAACUGGAAUUCUCGGUGUAGUGGUGGAAUGCGUAGAGAUCCGGAGGAACACCAGCGGCGAAGGCGGCAUCCUGGACUGGUCCUGACACUCAGGAGCGAAAGCGUGGGGAGCGAUCCGG
rnacentral:rRNA from 1 species